AAUCAGAGGGAGCGUUUGGCGGCCCCAGGGAUGGGUUUCUACGUGGGCUUCCGCUUUACCCUGAGAACUCUUGGGGGCAUGGCUGCCCUAGGACAGGAAACCGACGCACAGAGGCAGGGUCAGCUAUGUCAUCUGCAGGACCCAUAGAAGAUGAAAACGUGCCGGCACGUGGUGGAGCAUCUGUCAUCCCAGCACCUCGGAAGGCCGAGGCGGGAGGAUCACGAGGACUUCUCCCAGGACUGGCGAUCUGUGAAAUGCAUGUUGGGAAGGAGAGUUGCAGCCUCGGCCCCGAUGCGGCUGAGGGGCUAAGCACCAUGGUGUCCUGACUGAGCAGCUGGGCAGGCCCUCCGGACACCGGUGCAAAGCAGCAGCACCCACCCCGUCCUCUCAGAGUGUUCCAGUCAGCCCACAUUCAGCGUGGGGGUGGUCCCUCCUGGUCCCUCUGAUCCUGGCUGGAAGGGCUGUGAGCCGUGUCCCUCCUGGCCCCCCGACCCUGGCUGGACGGGCCGUGAGCUGCCUCCAGACAGGCCAGGGCUUCCCCGUCAGCUGGAAGCUCCUCCGGAAUUGCCUCUCCAGGCCUGCCUUUCAGGGAGCCCCUCGCACCUGGCUUCUGCCUCUGCAGGCAACUGUGGAUUGCUGUCCCUGCCCACCUAAGCCCCUGUGUCGUUUUCUUUCGAGGUGCUUGUCACUCAGGGAACCGAGAGAGCUACCAGCCGUCUUUUCAUCAUGUGAGGACAUAGUGAGAAGGUGGCCAUCUGCAGCUUGGAAAGGGGCCCUCACCAGAACCUAACCAUGCCAGCACCUUGAUCUUGGACUCCAGCCUCCAGAACUGUGAGAUAGAGAGCACCGGAGUCCAGGUGUGCCCUCCUGGGGCACCCGCCCAGCUCAGAGGCACACCUACCCGGUCUCGGGGGCUGUGACUGAGGGGUGUGGCAGAGGCUUCGGGUGUCCACUGGGAGCUUCCGCAGGGGAACCGGCCUGGUAGGAACGUCUGCUCUUGGGAAGGCAGAACCAUCGGGAACCAGCCUCGGGGCGCAGGCUUCCAGGCCAGCGCUCGCUCUGGGCAGAGCCACCCCCACGUUGCUUACUCGUCCCCACAAAUGGGACAGGAGCCAGGUCGCCUGUGUCCUCCGGGAAAUGCUCCCGGAUGUUGUGUCAGCCGGGUGAGCACUGGGUCCGGCUGCUCUGCCCAGCUUCUCUUCUCCAGUCGGCCAAGCCAGCCUCCGCGAGAGGCAGAGGAAAGACAGACACGGCGUUGGCUGCACGGGGCCUGCGUCUCUCCCGACCUUCUCAUUUGAUCCUCCUGCCCUAUGCGGUUGGUGCCAACAUUCAUCCCAUUUUACAGAUGAGUAAACUCAGCUUCAGUGAGGCCAGAGGCCUUCCUGGAGAUCACAGAGCAAGUGAGCCCAAGCCUCAACACCCAUCUCCCCUCUGCACCUCUGCCGCCCCCUCCCAUUCCUUUCCUGACUCUGGACCCCACGGGUGUCCUGGGCUCUGCUGCACUGUUCCUGGCUCUGCUCCCUUUCUACCUCCUGGGCCGGCAGGGGAAGAGCUCCCAGCUGGGGUCCCCACACCCUGACCUGCCCAUUCCACUUUCCUCAGCUGUAAAGCAGGGAAGUCAGGGCCCCCGUUUAUGGGCUCGUGGCGUUGAAGGGGUUCAUGUUGUGUAAAUCCCUAAGCCCAGUGUUGUCUUGGAAAAGACCUCAGUUUCGGGUUUAUUGUUCUCUCUCUCACUCACGCACCAUCAGUCUCAACUGUUGCUGGCCCGAGCUGUCUCUAUGUGCUUCUUCUCUCCUACUCUGCCGUCUACGAGGACGGGAGGUGCUGGGGGCUGGCUGGCUCCUCGGGGACAGUGGGGAGCCGUGUAGGAAGGGACACUGAGGCACUGAGGGCCCAGCAGGACCUGGGGAGGGGGUACAAGGAUGGCCUUGCUGCACGCAGACUGGCUGGCUCCACGCCCACUCUGGAAUGGCCCGGGCGAGACUGCCCAGCUGUCGUUUUGAUUGAAUCCAGAUGCCCCUCGUACUCGAGACAAAUGUGCUCUGGGGAGCGUUUAAAUAAAAACACAAGGA